CCCCGUGUCCGCCCCCAGCCCCGUGUCCGCCCCCAGCCCCGUGUCCACCAUCCGUCUGUCCGUGCGCUCAGACUGAGCCCGCAGCGCCCGGGGGAAAGCAGCGGCCGCCUCCCCGCUCCUCCCGCGCGUCCGCCGGCGCCCGCUCGGACUGGCCACGCACGGCAACACGAGAUGGUGGGAGGAGAAGCUCCUUACUUCAAGGAAACGAGGCCAUGGUAAGAGGCAAAUUCUCCAGGGGCUGCAGAGCCCUGUGAGCACAGGGUGACCCUGCACUGGGAGCAGCAGCUGGGGGUUUCUGCACAUGGGGAAGGGAAUUCCCAGAGCACUCGAGCCUCAACACGGACAAAUAUUCUGCAGUCUCCAGCAACAAUUGGCUUUGGGAUUUACGCUGUUGCAGCUCUUCUGGCUGUGAGGAUGCCCUGAAAAUGUGAAGCAAGUGCAUCAGCUCUUUCCAAUGGCUGUGGCAGCACCAGGGUUUGGGUUUUUUGGUUGGCACAGGAAAAUGAGCUGUGAGCAGCAUCUGUGCCAGGGAGGAAAGUGCCCCUGGAGCUGGGGCUGAGAACCUGGGGUCGAUGUGAGCACCUGUGGGUGGGAAGGAAGCUGGCAGAGCGCUGAGUUUGCUUUUCCUGCAGGCUCGCGCUCUGAUCCGGCACAACGGGCCCCCGCAGCUGCAGGAGCCCGGGCGCCUGUCGGCUCUGCUGCGGGACUGCCUCGAGUGCAGCCUGGAGCCGGACGAGGAGCGGCGCUGCUCUGCCCAGGAGCUGCUGCAGCACCCAUUUUUAUCAUCAGCCAAGCUUCUCUCCAGCCUGACCCCUCUGAUCACCGCAGCAAAGCAACUGAGGGAGCAGCGGAGGAGAUGAAGCACUUGAGGACAGCUGUUAGUUACAGUAGUUAGUGAGGACAACUAGUUAGUGAUGGUAGUUAGCAGUGCUAGUUGGUUAUGUUGGUUAGGACACCCUGUUUGUUACAGUUCUUAUGACAGCCUGUUUGGCAUGGCAGUUUUUUGAAUAAAAACUCUGUUAAACCACAACUCCCUUGGCGUGUCCCUUCCUCCUCCCUCUGUGACUCAGCUGCCCGGAGCAAUGUGAGGGGAGAGCGGGCCCAGCCUCGCCCAGAGCUGAGCCCCAGC
rnacentral:lncRNA from 1 species